CCUGAGGUGGCAGAACGGUUGAUGCGCGGGUCUGUAAAACCCGUUUAAGUAGGUUCAACUCCUACCCUCAGGA
rnacentral:tRNA from 1 species